rnacentral:rRNA from 1 species
AGGUCAAGUGAAGAAGGGCGCACGGUGAAUGCCUUGGCACUGGAAGCCGAUGAAGGACGCGACUAACCGCGAAAGUCUUCGGGGAGCCGUAAGUAGGCUUUGAUCCGGAGGUCUCCGAAUGGGGGAACCCAGCAUGUGCAGACAUGCUAUCCUUAAGUGAAUACAUAGCUUAAGGAGGGAACACGCAGUGAACUGAAACAUCUAAGUAGCUGCAGGAAGAGAAAGAAAUAUCGAUUUCCCAAGUAGCGGCGAGCGAACAGGAAAGAGCCCAAACCGGCAGAUUUAUCUGCCGGGGUUGUAGGACUGAGACAUGGCACUUCAGAGGAUAGCAGAAGCGUUUGGGAAAGCGCGCCAGAGAGGGUGAGAGCCCCGUAAGCGAAAUCCAAAGGAGGCCUAUCAGUAUCCUGAGUAGGGCGGGACACGUGAAAUCCCGUUUGAAUCCGCGAGGACCAUCUCGCAAGGCUAAAUACUAACCAGUGACCGAUAGUGAACCAGUACCGUGAGGGAAAGGUGAAAAGAACCCCGGG